GAAGUUUUUGCAUUACACAUUCCAGUUCUUUGAAAAGAAAAUCGGGCUUCUUUUCUUACUGCUCGUCAAUACAUGCUUUUUACAGCAUUAUCCACUACUGAGAGGGACUUUGUACUGAAAUUUUCUGCUUUAGAAAUAUAUAAUGAGACAAUAGACCUCCGGAAUUGUGCGUCUUGCUCACUUCACCAGUUGAAUGACCAAGAGAAAAACUAGUGGAUGAGAUUGUAAAUGAUGGCCAACAUCCGAGGACCUUAAUUGGUACCUGUAAAGCUCAAAAACAGGUGGGUGAAACUUCUCUAAAUGAUUAAAGCUCAACAUCUCAUCAGACAAUCAAGCUGGUGCAGUAAGCUCUUGAGCAUCAAAACUACCACCAUCAUUCCUAAAGGCGAAAGAAGCUACAUCGAUGAUAAAAUAUAGAAGACAUUGAGACCUUAAUUAUGGUCAAAGCUAGCUUAAUUCUUUUACGGGAGAGGAAUGUGAUUUAAUAUCUAAAAUAGAGCAUGUGAAACAAAAA